rnacentral:rRNA from 1 species
UACAGAGGGGCAAGCGUUGUUCGGAAUUACUGGGCGUAAAGGGCGCGUAGGCGGAUAGUUUAGUUGGGGUGAAAGCCCGGGCUCAACCUCGGAACUGCCUUCAAUACUGGCUAUCUUGAGUACGGGAGAGGUGUGUGGAACUCCGAGUGUAGAGGUGAAAUUCGUAGAUAUUCGGAAGAACACCAGUGGCGAAGGCGACACACUGGCCCGUUACUGACGCUGAGGCGACGAAAGCGUGGGGAGCAAACAGG